rnacentral:rRNA from 1 species
UAUAGAGGUCCCAAGCGUUACUGAGAAUCACUGGGUUUAAAGGGUGCGUAGGUGGUCCGUUAAGUCAGUUGUGAAAUCCCCGGGCUCAACCCGGGAACUGCUUCUGAUACUGGCGGACUUGAGGCCAGUAGGGGGUCACUAGAACUGACGGUGGAGCGGUGAAAUGCGUAGAUAUCGUCAGGAAUGCCGGUGGUGAAGACGGGUGACUGGGCUGGUUCUGACACUGAGGCACGAAAGCGUGGGGAGCGAACGGGG